UUCAACAGGCACAGACCCAGCUCCUCUUCUUCAACAGACACAGACCCAGCUCCUUUCUUUUUUUUUUUUUUUUUUUUGUUUCAAGAAACCAAACGUUCUUCUUCAAAAAAAGAAACAGAGCUGCUGCCGUUUGCACAGAGCUCCAUCGUGGCUUCACGCAACGCCGCCGAAGACACAAGCCACUGUCACGGUUGGCUAGCACCGGCACCAACUCGUCAAGCCGCCACUGUCACUAUCGCAGCUUCACCUAUUUCAAACGUCGCGGCCCAAGUUGCCGUCAACCUCUUGUUGUUCCAGCUCCGAUCAAGCCGCCAUCGGUCUCUCUUUACUCCACCUCCGAUCACUUCUCUUCGCUGCAUCUCACGCCCAACUCUUGCACCGGUGCUUCAUUCAUCGACCGUAGCUGAUCAAUGACGACCAUGCCGCCCACUCAACGCGGCGUCGGUCUGUCGGUAUACUUUCUCGCCCACUGAAAUUCAUCACUAUUAGCCAUGACCCGCCAACGCUGACCACAUCACCGAUUCAACGUGGUGUCGGUCUGCCCAAUUGUUCUACCACCUGCAUAGGCUGCUUCUAAUUUUCAGUCUCUUUAUCGCUUCUGUACGUUGGUGGGUAAGCUAUUCGAAUUUUUUUUUUAAAAGAAAAAUUGGUGGAAGCCUUCUUUGUGGUAAACCCAACUUCAGAAUCUCUACAUCUGAUAUAUAUAUUUUGUGAAUCUUGAUGUGUCAAUUGCUGCUCAUUGCUAAAGAAAAUAUAACUUGAAUAGCCCUCCGUUGAUUUUUUCCUUGAAAUGGAGGCAAGUCUUGAGGCAUUUUUGUUGACUCAAAAUCUGAUGUUGCUAAAAUCACAAUAUUGAAUGUUUGAAUAUUGUAAUUCCUGAAUUUCAAACUUUACUCAGAAGCUUGGUUUGAAUGUAGACAAAAUGACACUUUGCUUUGUUGAAAAGAAAGAAACAAACGUGUUGUUGUUGUCGAUGAUACACACAUUGGUAUUGCUAUUUGUUGAACCCCUCCGACUGGAUCUUGAACUCAUAAUGAAAUGUAGCCCUGAAAUUCAUAUUUUGGAGCUUGACUUUGUGUCGAUAAAUAUUGACAUAGAUGGGGUACUAAUGUUGCAAAGAUUCAUUGGUGUAGAGAGAGAAAUAAUUUGAAUCUUUUGAGUUUUGUUGGUGCUGCUACUGAAAAUUUUGUCUUGAAAUAGCUAUUGCCUCUAUUGAAUCUUGAUUUGCAUAAGAAAUGUAGUCUUGAAAUUCAUGUUGACAAAUCUAACGUAAAUAGAAUAUUUGAUGCUUGCAUUGAAAUAUUGAUGUCAAUGGUGGAGAUGUGAUAGGAAUGAUGUCACGCUUGAUACCAUGUGCCAAGACCGAACCAGCUUACCAUCAGCCUCUCUUUGCUGAAACUCUUCCUCCGGCUUCGGCGGUCCAAUGCAAACCACAUACGUCGCCCGUUCAACGCGUCGUGUGUGGUCUUGCCUAACGCUGUUCAACUCGUCGUUGGUGUGCCCUCCUGGCUUAGCAACAUUUUUCAAAGUUCCGAAUACAUAGAUCUUGGCCUUGCUUUACACUCACUGGUUCCAGCUCCAAUCACUGUUGACUUCGACGGUUCCAACGCACACCACACACGUUCGCCCUCUCAACGCAACGUGUGUGGUUGCUGACUCUUCUGUGGUACCAGCGUUGCUUCCGGCUUGAACUUGUCCGACGCCCACCACGCACGUUCGCCCACUCAACGCAACGCGUGUGGUCCUGCCAAGCCUAGCCCAGUCUUGUUGAUUACAGUCUGUAAAACCUCUCUGAUUUUAACUUGAAUUUCCAACAUCGGCUUCGGACUUCACCCCUCUAACAGUCCCAAAUUUUUUUACGUCGGCUUGAGAGGAACCAGCCCGGAGAGACAAAAACUUGAUAGUUGCAUUUUCAUGAACUUGCUCAGAGCAAAUGAAUUCUUGAUUGAAAUCCACGACCUCGGGGCCCUUGGAACCCGAACUAAUGAGAGCAAGGGCUGUUCCUCGGAAGUCUGAACAGAAGCAAGACUGUCCAUCGGGAGUCCGAAGGUAGCACACAC